AUUGAACGCUGGCGGCAGGCCUAACACAUGCAAGUCGAACGAGUGGCGGACGGGUGAGUAAUGUCUGGGAAACUGCCUGAUGGAGGGGGAUAACUACUGGAAACGGUCGCUAAUACCGCAUACCAUCGGAUGUGCCCAGAUGGGAUUAGCGUGUGGGUGGGGUAACGGAUCCACAAGGCGACGAUCCCUAGCUGGUCUGAGAGGAUGACCAGCCACACUGGAACUGGGACACGGUCCAGACUCCUACGGGAGGCAGCAGGGGGGAAUAUUGCACAAUGGGCGCAAGCCUGAUUCAGCCAUGCCGCGUGUAUGAAGAAGGCCUUCGGGUUGUAAAGUACUUUCGUCGGGGAGGCGUUACCCGCAGAAGAAGCACCGGCUAACUCCGUGCCAGCAGCCGCGGUAAUUC
rnacentral:rRNA from 1 species